rnacentral:rRNA from 1 species
GAUGAACGCUGGCGGCGUGCCUAAUACAUGCAAGUCGAGCGAACGGACGAGAAGCUUGCUUCUCUGAUGUUAGCGGCGGACGGGUGAGUAACACGUGGAUAACCUACCUAUAAGACUGGGAUAACUUCGGGAAACCGUAGCUAAUACCGGAUAAUAUUUUGAACCGCAUGGUUCAAAAGUGAAAGACGGUCUUUCUGUCACUUAUAGAUGGAUCCGCGCUGCAUUAGCUAGUUGGUAAGGUAACGGCUUACCAAGGCAACGAUGCAUAUCCGACCUGAGAGAGGGAUCGGCCACACUGGAACGGAGACACGGUCCUGACUACUACGGGAGGCAGCAGUAGGGAAUCUGCCGCAAUGGGCGAAAGCCUGACGGAGCAACGCCGCGUGAGUGAUGAAGGUCUUCGGAUCGUAAAACUCUGUUAUUAGUGAAGAACAUAUGUGUAAGUAACUGUGCACAGCUUGACGGUACCUAAUCAGAAAGCCACGGCUAACUACGUG